rnacentral:rRNA from 1 species
GAUGAACGCUGGCGGCGUGCCUAACACAUGCAAGUCGAGCGAAGCGCUCAGGAGGAAGUUUUCGGAUGGAAUCCUGAAUGACUGAGCGGGCGACGGGUGAAGGUACACGUAGGUAACUGCCCGGAGCGGGGGAUAACAUUUGGAAACAGAUGCUAAUACCGCAUAACAACAAAAGCCACAUGGCUUUUGUUUGAAAGAUGGCUUUGGCUAUCACUCUGGGAUGGACCUGCGGUGCAUUAGCUAGUUGGUAAGGUAAUGGCUUACCAAGGCGAUGAUGCAUAGCCGAGUUGAGAGACUGAUCGGCCACAAUGGAACUGAGACACGGUCCAU